rnacentral:tRNA from 1 species
GGGAUUGUGGCUCAGUGGUAGAGCACUUGCCUAGCAUGCAUGAGGCACUGGUUCGAUCUCCCGCACCCA